GGACCCGUAGCUCAGCGGUAGAGCAUCUGAUUCCAGCUGUACAAUUUACAAUUGUAAAUUACAACUGCCUCCAGAAGGUCAUCCGUUCAAAUCGGGUCGGGUUCA